GGGUAACCUGCCCAAGAGAUCGGGAUAACACCUGGAAACAGAUGCUAAUACCGGAUAACAACAGAUGAUGCCUAUCAACUGUUUAAAAGAUGGUUCUGCUAUCACUCUUUGGAUGGACCUGCGGUGCAUUAGCUAGUUGGUAGGGUAACGGCCUACCAAGGCGAUGAUGCAUAGCCGAGUUGAGAGACUGAUCGGCCACAUUGGGACUGAGACACGGCCCAAACUCCUACGGGAGGCAGCAGGC
rnacentral:rRNA from 1 species